AAUUCACUAUAACUCCUUGGAUUACAGCCGGUUGUUUUACAAGCUCACAACCCAACUUGUUGUUUUACGAGCUCAUAACGAACUCGGUCGGUUUUUCCAGGCUCACCGACUAGAACCACCCCGAUUGUUUUCCCGGGAUCACAAUCGAACCCUUACACGUUGGUUUUACCCUCGGCUCACCAACCAACCUCUACACUCUUGAUUCAAUCCCCUGAUUGAAUCAAGCAAAGACAAGAUGGAAAGAACAAGGACAAACAGAAAAACAGAGCUUCUAAAAAGCAGAUAUACAGCAAUAUAAACUAGAGAGAAGUUAAGAGCCCUCAAACACUUUUGAGUUGGAGUAGAGAAGGACUUCUUGAACUGUGAGUCUCUUCUUGAAUGUCUGGUCGACUUGAAGGCAGGAGGAGACUUCUUUAAAUGCUGGGAAGAGGUAGCUGGAUGGAGUUAAUGGCGCUCUUCCUUCUUUUCUGUUGAAAACCAGUUGGCAGAGAUAGGAUGCUUGAUUUCUUUGAGUGGAAUGGUGCUUCUCUUCCUUGCUACAGUCCUCUGUGGCUAUUUAAGCCAUCCCCCACGGAAACUAGCCGUUAGACACUUUUUUCUGCCCGUUCUGCACACUC
rnacentral:lncRNA from 1 species